UACGUAGGGUCCGAGCGUUGUCCGGAAUUACUGGGCGUAAAGAGCUCGUAGGUGGUUUGUCGCGUUGUUCGUGAAAACUCACAGCUCAACUGUGGGCGUGCGGGCGAUACGGGCAGACGUUGAGUACUGCAGGGGAGACUGGAAUUCCUGGUGUAGCGGUGGAAUGCGCAGAUAUCAGGAGGAACACCGGUGGCGAAGGCGGGUCUCUGGGCAGUAACUGACGCUGGAGGAGCGAAAGCCGUGGGGAGCGAACAGG
rnacentral:rRNA from 1 species